AUAUUCACAGCUUCUGGCUUAGAUCAAGUGUAGUAUCUGGUAUGUUCUCUCACUCAUCUUUCUCAUCCAUUCACAUGCUAACAAUCACCAGUUCUUCAUAGUCUAAACGCUAUGACAUGGCCACGGCCAUUCUAAUGUUUAUUCAUCUUUUUGGAACUCGCUGGAAGACCUCUGGGCUUGCUCAUGUCUUCUGGCACAGUGUCGCUUGUAUUGCACUACAUCAAGCCGACGCGAAUCCUC
rnacentral:snRNA from 1 species